rnacentral:tmRNA from 1 species
GGGAGUGACCGGUUUCGACAGGUUAGCUUCCCUUAACUUGCAUACCGUGGCUGUCCAUAGCCACGCAAAUAGUAUGGACACCAUAAUAAGUGCAAACUUGUUAUCCAAAGUAAAAGCCAGCGUUGCCAACUUGGCAAACGUCUUUGCUUUUGCUCCGGCAAUGGCCUAGUUCCCCGUCCGAAGCUCUUCGGAGCGUAGGCGCGAGACGGUCGUUACCCAUCGAACGCAUAAGACUUCGUAGUGCGACCUCGGUGUAACCCACGAAGUGUAGCGAUACAGCUGAGCUUACAGACUGGCUCGUGAAACCCCUUAAGCUAGGUUGCUGGCAUUUUGUUCACUUUCAGACCAGCAAUUGAAAUACCAAAGUGAACUGUGUAUGGAGAUAGUUAAGGUUAUCUUUCUUGGACGCGAGUUCAACUCUCGCCACUUCCACUU